rnacentral:rRNA from 1 species
GACGGAGGGUGCAAGCGUUGCUCGGAAUCACUGGGCGUAAAGGGUGCGUAGGCGGUCUUGCAAGUCCCGUGUGAAAUCCCUCGGCUCAACUGAGGAAUUGCACGGGAAACUGCUUGGCUUGAGAUCGGGAGAGGGAAGCGGAAUUCCGGGUGUAGCGGUGAAAUGCGUAGAUAUCCGGAGGAACACCGGUGGCGAAGGCGGCUUCCUGGACCGACACUGACGCUGAGGCGCGAAAGCUAGGGGAGCGAACAGG